AGAUUAGUUUAACAUGUGAAAUGUCCGUAAAGUAUCAUCACAUGAUUGGCUUUAGGGCACAUUUCCAACAUUGAUAUAGCAAGGCUAUCUCAAAUAAUGUUAUAUGGGAAUUAAAUCUCAAAUGUUGAAGAUUUAAGAAAGCAUUUUCCUAUGUGAUAAGAAAUCACUUUCAUAACCCUUAUAAUGAAUGUGUCAUAAAAUCACAAAAGGGACACAUGUAUUGACUUGUGAAGUAGAUAUCCAAAGGUGAAGAAACCACUGUGUUUAUCACUUUAAGAUAUUACUAUAUCCCAGGAUCAGAACCAAAGCAACUGAUAGAGUAUUAUUGCCUUUAAGAAAGAAACAUCAGAGUGGGACUCUGGAAGCGUGCAUUCACUUAGGUUGUUAACCAAAGUGAAAAUAAGCCAUUUUAACAAAUGGAACUUCAUAAUGGAUGAAGUGCUAAUCAUAUGAAUGAAUUGUUAGUAUUGUACUACAAUGGUCUCAAGCUUGGAGCAAAGUUUGUAUAAAGUAUACAAACGAAAUAUAUGUAGAUAUAUAGUUUUAGAAACUGCUUCAAAAGGUGUUUUGAAUGGAAGGGGUUCUUUUAGAACCAAUGAUUGAAUCCAAACCAUAAGGUCGUUAGUAGAGUACUACGACGUAAUGGGGCGAUAGCUCAAGCCAUGGAAUCAAGGUCUCAUCAAAGUAUUCGAACACAAUAAAGAGACAUCAUCAAAUGUCUUGGAAACAUUUGAUAAGUAAAUCCUUUUUAAAUAUAAAAGAGAUUAAUACAUAACCAAGUUAACCUACGAGCAUAAACUCUCUCGACAAGAUG
rnacentral:lncRNA from 1 species